rnacentral:rRNA from 1 species
AGAGUUUGAUCCUGGCUCAGGAUGAACGCUGGCGGCGUGCCUAAUACAUGCAAGUCGAGCGAACAGACGAGGAGCUUGCUCCUCUGACGUUAGCGGCGGACGGGUGAGUAACACGUGGAUAACCUACCUAUAAGACUGGGAUAACUUCGGGAAACCGGAGCUAAUACCGGAUAAUAUAUUGAACCGCAUGGUUCAAUAGUGAAAGACGGUUUUGCUGUCACUUAUAGAUGGAUCCGCGCCGCAUUAGCUAGUUGGUAAGGUAACGGCUUACCAAGGCAACGAUGCGUAGCCGACCUGAGAGGGUGAUCGGCCACACUGGAACUGAGACACGGUCCAGACUCCUACGGGAGGCAGCAGUAGGGAAUCUUCCGCAAUGGGCGAAAGCCUGACGGAGCAACGCCGCGUGAGUGAUGAAGGUCUUCGGAUCGUAAAACUCUGUUAUUAGGGAAGAACAAAUGUGUAAGUAACUAUGCACGUCUUAACGGUACCUAAUCAGAAAGCCACGGCUAACUACGUGCCAGCAGCCGCGGUAAUACGUAGGUGGCAAGCGUUAUCCGGAAUUAUUGGGCGUAAAGCGCGCGUAGGUGGUUUUUUAAGUCUGAUGUGAAAGCCCACGGCUCAACCGUGGAGGGUCAUUGGAAACUGGAAAACUUGAGUGCAGAAGAGGAAAGUGGAAUUCCAUGUGUAGCGGUGAAAUGCGCAGAGAUAUGGAGGAACACCAGUGGCGAAGGCGACUUUCUGGUCUGUAACUGACGCUGAUGUGCGAAAGCGUGGGGAUCAAACAGGAUUAGAUACCCUGGUAGU